rnacentral:rRNA from 1 species
GAUGAACGCUGGCGGCGUGCCUAAUACAUGCAAGUCGAGCGAACGGACGAGAAGCUUGCGUCUCGGAUGUUAGCGGCGGACGGGAGAGUAACACGUGGAUAACCUACCUAUAAGACGGGGAAAACUACGGGAAACCGGAGCUAAUACCGGAUAAGAUUUUGAACCGCAGGGGGCAAAAGUGAAAGACGGUGUUGCGGGCACUUAUAGAGGGAUACGCGCUGCUUUAGCUAGUUGGGCAGGUAACGGCUUACGAAGGCAACGAGGCAUAGCCGACCUGUGUGGCUGAUAGCCGACCCUGGAACUGAGCCACCCUCAUGACUCCUACGGGACGCAGCAGUAGCCAAUCUUCCGCAAUGGUCGGAAGCCUUACGGAGCAACGCCGCGCCAGUUGUGACGGUCUUCCGAUCGUAAUACUCUGUUACUAGGUAAGAACAUAUGUGUCCGUUGCUGUGCACAUCUUGACGGUAACUAAUCAGAAAGCCACGGCUAACUACGUG